rnacentral:rRNA from 1 species
AUUGAACGCUGGCGGCAUGCCUUACACAUGCAAGUCGAACGGCAGCGGGGACUUCGGUCCGCCGGCGAGUGGCGAACGGGUGAGUAAUGUAUCGGAACGUACCAUUGAGUGGGGGAUAACGUAGCGAAAGUUACGCUAAUACCGCAUAUUCUCUCCGGAGGAAAGCAGGGGACCGCAAGGCCUUGCGCUCUUUGAGCGGCCGAUAUCAGAUUAGCUAGUUGGUUAGGUAAAGGCUCACCAAGGGGACGAUCUGUAGCGGGUCUGAGAGGAUGAUCCGCCACACUGGAACUGAGACACGGUCCAGACUCCUACGGGAGGCAGCAGUGGGGAAUUUUGGACAAUGGGGGCAACCCUGAUCCAGCCAUGCCGCGUGAGUGAAGAAGGCCUUCGGGUUGUAAAGCUCUUUCGGCCGGGAAAAAAUCGCAUGGGCUAAUAUCCUGUGUGGAUGAUGGUACCGGAAUAAGAAGCACCGGCUAACUACGUGCCAGCCGCCGCCGUAACAC